AAGUCGUAACAAGGUCUCCGUAGGUGAACCUGCGGAGGGAUCAUUAACAAAGCAAGGUGUUCAGGAAAGAGGCGACUGCGUAGCAGGAGCGUCUUUUCUGAAUUCCCAAAAUCAUGUUGCCACCGAUGGUUGGAUUUCAACUCGCGGUGGCACACAUAUCUAUAUCUACAUUCUCAACAACACAUUUCAACAAAACACAAACAACUUUUAACAAUGGAUCUCUUGGCUCUU
rnacentral:misc_RNA from 1 species